GGAACUUUCCAACUUGAGAAAAAAACCUACAAAUCUUUGGAGGUUCUGAAGGAAUAAGUGAGGUAUUUAAGGGACUUAGAGUAUGAGACUUGAAGGAAAUCCAUAUGGGAUUAAAGUCUCUGUCCUCAGACAAACAUUAAUGACAAACUGGCAGUAAUCUAAGCCUAAUUCUACACUGUGUCCAGUCAUCAUUGAGAAGAGUCAACAGAUAAAAGGAUUAGGGUUAGGUUAGGUCUAGGGUUAGGGUUGCUGUUAGGGAUUAGGAUUAGGAUUAGCAUUAGUGGUUAGGGUUAGGGGUUAAAGAAUAGCUCAGUGGGUAAUAACACUGACUGCUCUAACGAAGGUCCUGAGUUCAAUCCCAGUAACCACAUGGUGGCUCACAACCAUCUGUAAUGAGAUAUGACACCCUCUUCUGGUGUGUCUGAAGACAGCUACAGUGUACUUAGAUAUAAGUUAUAAUAAAUAGAUAAUUAGAUAAUAAGGGUUAGGGGUUAGGAAUAGGCUCAAACACAUUCACUUUUGUGUGGCAAAUUUUGUAAAGUGUUUGAAAGUGGUGUAAAAGCAGUGAUGGGGAUCAUCUUUUAGCAAUACUUGAUCAGAAUAUUUUUACCUUUCUGAUACCACCAUUGACCCCAGCAUGAUUCUGGGAAAUUCAAUUCCAGGUGCAACUGGAGUUUCUAGUUGUAGAAGUUUUCUAGGUGUGUAUGGUAUUGGCUGGGUGGACAGGGCAAGUUCUACUUGCUGUGUUGCAAACCCUGUGUCAAAAAGCAGACAUUAGAUUAAUCCUCAACUUGGUUUUGUGUAUUCUUCAGUAAGGCUGGUGUUGCCUGAAACCACAAGGGUGCCUGAAGGGCUUCAGAGCCCUUGCCUACCUUUCUGAUCACCUCUGUUCCCAAAGAGAGCUCUAGAACAUGAGGCCUCUGCUUGAAAGAUAGAUUAGUAGGAACUGGAGAGUCAGAAAUAUAGAGUUUAGGAGUCACUUUUAAUUAUUUUUGUAGGAGUUGUAAAGUCUGUGUUUAGUUAAUUUCUAUACAUGUACAGUCAAACAUAACAUUGGUCAAGUACAUGUUCUUUCUGUUGGAUUUUUCUUAAUUCUUUGGAUGAAAACAUGUUUUUUUUUAAGAUUUAUUUAUUUAUUAUAUGUAAGCAAACCUUUAAUUGGGGCUGGCUUACAGUUUCAGAGGUUUAGUCUAUUUUCAUCAUAGCAGGAAGCAUGGCAACAUGCAGGCAGACAAGGAGUUGAGAGUUCUGCAUUUUGAUCUAAAGGCAUCCAGGAAGAGACUGUCUUUCAGGGGGCUACCAGGAGGGUCUGUAAGUACAUUGUAGCUGUCUUCAGACACUCCAGAAGAGGGAGUCAGAUCUCGUUACGGAUGGUUGUGAGCCACCAUGUGGUUGCUAGGAUUUGAACUCUGGACCUUCGGAAGAGCAGUCGGGUGCUCUUACCCACUGAGCCAUCUCACCAGCCCAGCAUGUUUAUUUUUAGGGUUAAUAUUUUUUAGUCCUUGCCUUCAUUCUUUCUCAAAUAUUGUACACAUUCUUGAUUGUUGUACCUUUGUGGUAAGAACAAAAAUCACAUUGUAUCAAAGUGUGUAUCAUUCCUUAGUAAUCUCACUGAAAAUUUUAUUGAGUUAUUUCACAUGCCAUAUAGAUUUGAUAUCAGCUCUCCUUUUAUAAAUUCUUAUGAAUUUUCUUUGGAUUUUAUUGAAUGUGUGCUGCAAAUUGAGCAUAGCAAGCAUCCUUUUUUGGGAGGGAAUACAUCAUUUUAAUAGUUUUUAUGGUAGUAUAAAAAGGUAAAAGACAUUAUUCUACAUAAUUACUUAUUUAUCAAACUACAGUAAGUGUAUAAAACUGAAAAUGAUUUUUAAAAAAGUGUACAGAGCCAUAGAAAAGGGAGCUUAGGAUAGAAUUUGGUAGCACAAAACAUGUUGUUUUCAUCACAUAAAUACCACCAAAUAUGAUUUAAUUGAAAAGACAAAAAUUGAAAAUUAAAUGUGGUUUAGAAUUGAACAAUGAAUCUGAAUGUCACAUGUAACUGCUUAUUAUCAUACAAAAACAAUUUUUUAUGGCAGACAUUGGGAUUCUCUACAGAUAUCAACUAAAAUUAGUGCAACAGUGUUGUGUGGUUAUACUUGAGGUAAAAUGGCAUGUAAAUAGUGUACAUAUCUGAUGCAUUUGAACAUAUUAUCUACAUCCAUAUAACAUCAUUACCUACCAAAAAAAAAAAACAGAACCAUGUUCUCUGUUCAUUCUUAUUCUCCUAUGAUUAUAUGUGAGUACAGUAUACAGAGUUCUCAUAAAAUGACACAAUUGCUAGGAAUCCCAGAAAUGGCCUCCAUAUAUUUUCCAUGCAUUUGGAAUUAACUUAAAGAAGUAUCAGAAUUCUAAUGCUUGUUGUAGUUAGAUUCAUGGUGGCCUAAAUUAUAAAAUAACCUAACUUCUCAUUAGUAGAUAACAAGCUGGGCGCCUCAGGAAGACACUGAGCUGAAUGAAGAAAGAUGAUAGCAAUGGAUGACAGGUGACUCAUCUUCAUUUUAUUCUGAUCAAAUAACCAGUCUUACUUAGAUGGUGGCCCUUUCAUUUUUGCUUUGGAGAACAAAUUUAGACAUUUAACAUUUUGAUGUAUCACAUUGUAUAUGUUUCACAUAAAAUUAAUGGAGCAAUGCUGUAUAACAUUACAUACGUAUUUCUAUUUUUUAUAUAGUUGUUUAAACCUCAGUUUUCCUUAAAGAGAAGCUAGACAACUCCUUUGGAAUUAAACGAGCAGGAAACUGUAAUUCACAAUCCAAAGUCGUGAGAACUAAUACAAGAAAGUGACCUGGGCUUGUUUCCUGAAUGUUACAGAUUUUACAUUGCUGAGAGCAAAACUUCUGAUUUAACAGAUGUAGACAGUUCCUAAGAAUGAGCUUGUCAUAAACUCCUGUGUGAUGCUCACCGUCUAAACAGACAGAAUGAUAACUAUCUGUCAAACUCAUUCCUUCUUAACCAUAGUAAGAAGCUUAACCAUAGUGAAUACAAUCAAAAGGUUUAUCUCCAGUACAUAUUCUUUCAUGAUGAUGAAGCCUACAGAAUUGUGCAAAGGCUUCACCAUAUACUCACAGGGUUUCUGUCUUAGCAUUUCCAUUGCUAGGAAUAGACAUCAUGGCCAAGGCAACUCUCAUAAAAGCAAACCUUUAACUGGGGCUGGCUUACAGUUUCAGAGGUUUAGUCUAUUUUCAUCAUAGCAGGAAGCAUGGCAACAUGCAGGCAGACAAGGAGUUGAGAGUUCUGCAUUUUGAUCUAAAGGCAUCCAGGAAGAGACUGUCUUUCAGGGGGCUACCAGGAGGGUCUGUUCUGCACUGAGUAGAGCUUCAAAGCCUACCACCAGACUGAUCCACUUCCUCCAACAAGGUCACACUUCUGAAUAGAGCUACUCCCUGUGACAAACAUAUUUAAACUCCCACAUUCCACUACCUGGCCCCUAUAAGCUUGUUGGAGUACAGGAAUAUAUGGGGACCAUACUUAAACAUAGCAUAAUGAAAACUACAUGAGGUCCAACUUUAAAAGUCCCCAUCAUCUAUACCAGUCUCAAAAAUGUUAAAAGUUCAAAGUUCAAAGUCUCUUCUGAGAUUCAUCCAAUCAUGUAACUAAUCCCCUAAAAAAGAAAAUCAAGAGCUAGGCAUGGUGGCGCACACCUUUAAUCCUAGCACUCGGGAGGCAGAGGCAGGCGGAUUUCUGAGUUUGAGGCCAGCCUGGUCUACAGAGUGAGUUCCAGGACAGCCAGGGCUACAGAGAAACCCUGUCUCAAAAAAACAAAAAAAAAAACAAACAAACAAAAAAAAACAACAAAAAAAAGAAAAUCAAAAAACAUAUAGUUCCAACUACACAAGAUAUACUUCACCAUUCCUAAAUGAUAUUGUGAGGAAAUACUGGACCAAAACAAGACCAAAAGCCAGCUGGGAAAUCUCCAAAUUCUACAUCUCCAUAUCUUAUGUUAAAGCAUUCUUCAGAUCUACAAGUCCUUUCUGCUUUGUUCACUGCAGUACAAUUUUUUCUCUUUGGCUGGUUUUAUUCCUUGAAAGCAGUUUUCCUGAGCAGGACUCCACAGUUCUGGCAUCACAAAGAUCUUGGGGUCUCUGAGGCAAUCUCAGUGUUACAGUUUCUUGUUCCAGGGUCUAGGAUCCACACAUGAUCUUCUGCGUUCCUCCAAAGAGAUCGGGCCACUUCUCCAGCUCUGCCCUCUGUAUCACUCUAAGCUCUGGUUGACUCCACUCUACUUCUGCUGCUGUUCGUCCUGCUCAUCCCAUGGGACUGGCAUCUUCAAAAUGCUGGGUUCUUCUGUUGCAACUAGGCUUCACUGAUAGCCUCAUUUAUGCUCCCUUCAUGGUGCCAAGCCUCUGCAGGACACCUUCAUGCCUUCAAAACCAGUACCACCUGGGUGAUUCUUACAUGUGACCAAGUUCAGCUGCAACACAAGGUACAAUGUGGCUAUCUCUGGAACACAGCUUCUUUGUCCUCUCAGAAAACACUUCCUAGAAGAUUUCAUCUCAGUGAUGCUGGUCUCUUCUUCAUCACUUCUAAUCUCUUAGCUACAGCUAACAAGCAUCAAUUUUUCCAGUAGCCCCUUCUAUUUUUGCUUCUAAAGCCAGAGCCACAUGGACAAAGCUGCUGGGUUCUGCUGCUUGCUGGGCCUGGGACAUGGCCCCUUCUAUUACAUUAUCACCAGUUUUCUCUUCUCCAACUCCUUUACUGCCUCAGCUUGGCUGUCCUGAACUCAGAGAUCUGGAGGCUCUGUAUCCACAGGCCUAGACCUAAGCUUUUCUUCAUCUGCAACUUGUUCUGUAUCAGGAUGGACUUGAACUCAGAUGCUUGAUGCUCAUCUCCUAGGGUUUAAAGGCAUGUACCACCAUGCCUGGACCUAUGCUUUCCAUUUUAUAUCUUAUAUUGAAAACCAAGAGUAGCAAUCACAAUCCAUUCCUUGUCAAUUUUAAACAUACUUGUAUCUCCUUAUGUCAAUAUGUAAACAAUAACCAGGUUUCUUUCCUCUGUGUUCUUUUAUGUUGCUGUAGAUGACUGUGACUUUUAAAUGCUUUACCACAUUGAUUACAUUCAUAAGGUUUCUGUCCAGUAUAUGUUCUUUUAUGUCUUUGGAGAUUAGUCUUACAUCCAAAGUCUUUACAACAUUGAUUGCAUUCUAAUGUUUCUUUCUAAAAUGUGUUCUUUUAUGAUAUUGGAGACUAGUGUGAUGUGCAAAGGCUUUACCACAUUGAUUACAUUGAUAAGGUUUCUCUCUAGUAUGUAUUCUUUUAUGUAUUUGAAGACUAUAGUGUGCUGCAAAGGCUUUACCACAUUGAUUACACUCAUAAGGUUUCUCUCCAGUAUGUGUUCUUUUAUGAUAUUGAAGACUACUAUUUUGUGAAAAGGCUUUAUCACAGUGAUUACACUGAUAAGGUUUCUCUCCAGUAUGUAUUCUUUUAUGCUUUUGGAGAUUAUACUGAACUGCAAAGGCUUUACCACACUGAUUACACUCAUGAGGUUUCUCUCCAGUAUGGGUUCUUUUAUGGUUUUGGAGUUGACUAGGUCUUGCAAAAGCUUUACCACAUUGAGUGCAUACAUAAGGUUUCUCUCCAGUAUGCUUUAUUUUAUGAUAUUGGAGACUAGUGUGAUGUGCAAAGGCUUUACCACAUUGAUUACAUUGAUAAGGUUUCUCUCCAGUAUGUAUUCUUUUAUGAUAUUGGAGACUAUACUGAAAUGCAAAGGUUUUACCACAUUGAUUACAUUCAUAACAUUUUUCUCCAGUAUGUGUUCUUUUAUGAUGUUGGAGACUAUACUGAACUGCAAAGGCCUUACCACAUUGAUUACAUUCAUAAGGUUUCUCUCCAGUAUGUGUUCUUUUAUGAUACUGGAGAUUACUGUGAUAUGCAAAGGCUCUACCACACUGAUUACAUUCAUAAGGUUUCUCUCCAGAAUGUGUUCUUUUAUGUGUUUGGAGUUGACUGGGUCUUACAAAAGCUUUACCACAUUGAUUACAUUCACAAGUUUUCUCUCCAGUAUGUGUUCUUUUAUGAUAUUGGAGACUACUCUUUUGUGAAAAGGCUUUACCACAUUGAUUACAUUCAUAGGGUUUCUCUCCAGAAUGUGUUCUUUUAUGUGUUUGGAGUUGACUGGGUCUUACAAAAGCUUUACCACAUUGAUUACAUUCACAAGUUUUCUCUCCAGUAUGUGUUCUUUUAUGAUAUUGGAGACUACUCUGUCGUGAAAAGGUUUUACCACAUUGAUUACAUUCAUAGGUUUUCUCUCCAGUAUGUGUUCUUUUAUGAUAUUGGAGACUACUCUGUCGUGAAAAGGUUUUACCACAUUGAUUACAUUCAUAGGUUUUCUCUCCAGUAUGUGUUCUUUUAUGAUAUUGGAGAUUACUCUGUCGUGAAA
rnacentral:lncRNA from 1 species